rnacentral:rRNA from 1 species
GACGAACGCUGGCGGCGUGCUUAACACAUGCAAGUCGAACGAAGUGGCGAACGGGUGAGUAACGCGUAAUCAACCUGCACUUCAGAGGGGGAAAACAGUUGGAAACGACUGCUAAUACCGCAUACUUAAGGAGGGGAUUGCGUCUGAUUAGCUAGGUGGAGGGGUAACGGCCCACCAAGGCGAUGAUCAGUAGGCGGACCGAGAGGAUGUACGGCCACAUUGGGAACUAGACACCGCCCAGACCUCUACGGGAGGCAGGAGUGGGGAAUUUUCCGCAAUGGAUGAAAGUCUGACGGAGAAAAGCCGCGGGAGUGAUUACGGCCUUCGGGUUGUAAAGCCUUGUUAAUCGGGACGCGGUACCGGAAUAGAAAGCCACGGCUAACUACGUGCCAGCAGCCGCGGUAAUAC